AACGAACGCUGGCGGCAUGCCUAACACAUGCAAGUCGAACGAGACCUUCGGGUCUAGUGGCGCACGGGUGCGUAACGCGUGGGAACCUGCCCUUAGGUUCGGAAUAACUCCCCGAAAGGGGUGCUAAUACCGGAUAAUGUCUUCGGACCAAAGAUUUAUCGCCUUUGGAUGGGCCCGCGUUGGAUUAGCUAGUUGGUAGGGUAAAAGCCUACCAAGGCGACGAUCCAUAGCUGGUCUGAGAGGAUGAUCAGCCACACUGGGACUGAGACACGGCCCAGACUCCUACGGGAGGCAGCAGGGGGGAAUAUGGGAAAAGGGGCGAAAGCCUAACCCAGCAAUGCCGCGGGAGUGAUGAAGGCCUUAGGGUUGUAAAGCUCUUUUCCCCGGGAUGAUAAUGACAGUACCGGGAGAAUAAGCUCCGGCUAACUCCGU
rnacentral:rRNA from 1 species